rnacentral:rRNA from 1 species
GACGAACGCUGGCGGCGUGCCUAAUACAUGCAAGUUGAGCGAUGAAGCUUGGUGCUUGCACCAAUUUGAAGAGCAGCGAACGGGUGAGUAACGCGUGGGGAAUCUGCCUUUGAGCGGGGGACAACAUUUGGAAACGAAUGCUAAUACCGCAUAACAACUUUAAACAUAAGUUUUAAGUUUGAAAGAUGCAAUUGCAUCACUCAAAGAUGAUCCCGCGUUGUAUUAGCUAGUUGGUGAGGUAAAGGCUCACCAAGGCGAUGAUACAUAGCCGACCUGAGAGGGUGGUCGGCCACAUUGGGACUGAGACACGGCCCAAACUCCUACGGGAGGCAGCAGUAGGGAAUCUUCGGCAAUGGACGGAAGUCUGACCGAGCAACGCCGCGUGAGUGAAGAAGGUUUUCGGAUCGGAAAACUCUGUUGGUAGAGAAGAACGUUGGUGAGGGUGGAAAGCUCAUCAAGUGACGGUAACUACCCAGAAAGGGACGGCUAACUACGUG